rnacentral:rRNA from 1 species
GACGAACGCUGGCGGCGUGCUUAACACAUGCAAGUCGAACGGAAAGGCUCCAGCUUGCUGGAGUACUCGAGUGGCGAACGGGUGAGUAACAAGUGGGUAAUCUGCCCUGCACUCUGGGAUAAGCCUGGGAAACUGGGUCUAAUACUGGAUAUGACCUUUCUCCUUAUGGGGUUUGGUGGAAAGUUUUUCGGUGUAGGAUGAGCCCGCGGCCUAUCAGCUUGUUGGUGGGGUGAUGGCCUACCAAGGCGACGACGGGUAGCCGGCCUGAGAGGGUGAUCGGCCACAUUGGGACUGAGAUACGGCCCAGACUCCUACGGGAGGCAGCAGUGGGGAAUAUUGCACAAUGGGCGGAAGCCUGAUGCAGCGACGCCGCGUGAGGGAUGACGGCCUUCGGGUUGUAAACCUCUUUCAGCAGGGACGAAGCGUAAGUGACGGUACCUGCAGAAGAAGCACCGGCUAACUACGUG